rnacentral:rRNA from 1 species
GAAGAAGCUUGCUUCUUUGCCGGCGAGCGGCGGACGGGUGAGUAAUGUCUGGGGAUCUGCCCGAUGGAGGGGGAUAACUACUGGAAACGGUAGCUAAUACCGCAUAACGUCGCAAGACCAAAGUGGGGGACCUUCGGGCCUCACACCAUCGGAUGAACCCAGAUGGGAUUAGCUAGUAGGCGGGGUAAUGGCCCACCUAGGCGACGAUCCCUAGCUGGUCUGAGAGGAUGACCAGCCACACUGGAACUGAGACACGGUCCAGACUCCUACGGGAGGCAGCAGUGGGGAAUAUUGCACAAUGGGGGAAACCCUGAUGCAGCCAUGCCGCGUGUGUGAAGAAGGCCUUCGGGUUGUAAAGCACUUUCAGCGGGGAGGAAGGGGGUAAGGUUAAUAGCCUUAUUCAUUGACGUUACCCGCAGAAGAAGCACCGGCUAACUCCGUGCCAGCAGCCGCGGUAAUACGGAGGGUGCAAGCGUUAAUCGGAAUGACUGGGCGUAAAGCGCACGCAGGCGGUCUGUUAAGUUGGAUGUGAAAUCCCCGGGCUUAACCUGGGAACUGCAUUCAAGACUGGCAGGCUAGAGUCUCGUAGAGGGGGGUAGAAUUCCAGGUGUAGCGGUGAAAUGCGUAGAGAUCUGGAGGAAUACCGGUGGCGAAGGCGGCCCCCUGGACGAAGACUGACGCUCAGGUGCGAAAGCGUGGGGAGCAAACAGGAUUAGAUACCCUGGUAGUCCACGCCGUAAACGAUGUCGACUUGGAGGCUGUGGUCUUGAACCGUGGCUUCCGGAGCUAACGCGUUAAGUCGACCGCCUGGGGAGUACGGCCGCAAGGUUAAAACUCAAAUGAAUUGACGGGGGCCCGCACAAGCGGUGGAGCAUGUGGUUUAAUUCGAUGCAACGCGAAGAACCUUACCUACUCUUGACAUCCACGGAAUUUGGCAGAGAUGCCUUAGUGCCUUCGGGAACCGUGAGACAGGUGCUGCAUGGCUGUCGUCAGCUCGUGUUGUGAAAUGUUGGGUUAAGUCCCGCAACGAGCGCAACCCUUAUCCUUUGUUGCCAGCGAUUUGGUCGGGAACUCAAAGGAGACUGCCGGUGAUAAACCGGAGGAAGGUGGGGAUGACGUCAAGUCAUCAUGGCCCUUACGAGUAGGGCUACACACGUGCUACAAUGGCGCAUACAAAGAGAAGCGACCUCGCGAGAGCAAGCGGACCUCAUAAAGUGCGUCGUAGUCCGGAUUGGAGUCUGCAACUCGACUCCAUGAAGUCGGAAUCGCUAGUAAUCGUAGAUCAGAAUGCUACGGUGAAUACGUUCCCGGGCCUUGUACACACCGCCCGUCACACCAUGGGAGUGGGUUGCA